UACAGAGGUCCCGAGCGUUGUUCGGAUUCAUUGGGCGUAAAGGGUGCGUAGGCGGCGGGGUAAGUCUGAUGUGAAAUCCUGGGGCUCAACCCCAGAACUGCAUUGGAUACUGCCUUGCUAGAGUACUGGAGAGGAAACUGGAAUUUACGGUGUAGCAGUGAAAUGCGUAGAUAUCGAGAGGAACACCAGUGGCGAAGGCGAGUCCCUGGACAACUCCUGACACUGAGGCACGAAAGCUAGGGGAGCAAACAGG
rnacentral:rRNA from 1 species